rnacentral:sRNA from 1 species
ACCCAUGACUACGACGUCAAGAUGCGCAGCGUGGUGAAAUUCCUGCAAGGCGGUGACAAGGUCAAGAUCACCCUGCGCUUUCGUGGCCGCGAAAUGGCGCAUCAGGAUCUGGGUCGCCAGCUUCUCGAACGGAUUGCCGAAGACAUCAAGGAUGUGGGCCGGGUCGAGAACAUGCCCAAGAUGGAAGGCCGCCAGAUGAUCAUGGUGAUCGGACCGGGCCCCAAGUAACGGCUCCCGUUCUGCCCCGAUACUCAACCCCGGACCAUCGGUCCGGGGUUUCGUGUUUCGCUUGCGCCCCCGGACCAGUCGCGUA